rnacentral:rRNA from 1 species
UACGUAGGGGGCUAGCGUUGUCCGGAAUCAUUGGGCGUAAAGCGCGCAUAGGCGGCCCGGUAAGGCCGCUGUGAAAGUCAAAGGCUCAACCUUUGAAUGUCAGCGGAUACUGCCGGGCUAGAGUCCGGAAGAGGCGAGUGGAAUUCCUGGUGUAGCGGUGGAAUGCGCAGAUAUCAGGAGGAACACCAACGGCGAAGGCAGCUCGCUGGGACGGUACUGACGCUAAGGCGCGAAAGCGUGGGGAGCGAACAGG